GCCAGCUGCUUCAAUGAGUCUGGUCGCGUGAGCCCGGCUAUCCUGAGCCAUCCAGCCUGCCCGGAUCUGGCUCAGUCCAGAAGAACUGUCCGGCUGAGCACGGACUCAGGAGCAAUAGGAACUCGAAGCUAGUGUUGCCCUGGCUUUGACAGCCUGACCAGGCAUCUCCAGCAAACACAUAGUGCCCAUGUCGGCCACUGGCACAGGACAGGCUCUUCACCCUUCCACUUGCCACCGCCAUGCCCCAGAGGCAAAAGUUCACAUCCAGGUGCUGUCUUGGAAAGGAGGAAGGUGAGGGAAGAAAUCAGAGAGACUCCACUCAUUAAAGAGAAACCGAGGCAAUGUCCUGGAGAAGAAAGGUGGAUACAGACUCUGGCACUCAGGGAGCUUCUCCCAACAGAGAAGUGAGGAGGGGGCCGACGGAAAACAUCAUAUUAU